UUAAAAAGCUCGUAGUCGGAUUUCAGUAUUAGGCCCUUCUUCCAAUACGGUUGCUAGUGGUCUUUACUUCCUUAACAGAAUCUUUCAUCUCAUUAAUUUGGGGUGUUUGGGGCCUGUUUCUUUUACUUUGAGAAAACUAGAGUGUUCAAAGCGGGUUUUCGCCUGGAUAUUACUCUUGGAAUAAUAAUAUAGGACUUUGGUUCUUUUUUGUUGGUGACUUAGAACCGAAGUAAUGAUUGAUAGGGACAGUUGGGGUCAUUCGUACUAUGAAGCGAGAGGUGAAAUUCAUGGACCUUUGUAUGACGAACUACUGCGAAAGCAUUUGACUAGGAUGUUCCCGUUGAUCAAGAACGAAAGUUGGGGGAUCGAAGACGAUCAGAUACCGUCGUAGUCUCAACCAUAAACUAUGCCAGCUAGGGAUUGGAGGAAGAUCAUUUUACGUCUCCUUCAGCACCUUAUGAGAAAUCAAAGCAUUUGGGUUCCGGGGGGAGUAUGGUCGCAAGGCUGAAACUUAAAGGAAUUGACGGGAGGGCACCACCAGGAGUGGAGCCUGCGGCUUAAUUUGAUUCAACACGGGAAAACUUACCAGGUCCGGACAUGGGAAGGAUUGACAGAUUGAAAGCUCUUUCUUGAU
rnacentral:rRNA from 1 species